CCUACGGGAGGCAGCAGUGAGGAAUAUUGGUCAAUGGUCGGGAGACUGAACCAGCCAAGCCGCGUGAGGGAUGAAGGUACAGAGUAUCGUAAACUCCUUUUGUCGGGGAACAAAGGCGGGGACGUGUCCACGGAGGAGCGUACCUGAAGAAAAAGCAUCGGCUAACUCCGUGCCAGCAGCCGCGGUAAUACGGGGGAUGCGAGCGUUAUCCGGAUUUAUUGGGUUUAAGGGGAGCGCAGGCGGUGUGCUAAGUCAGCGGUCAAAGCCCGGGGCUCAACCCCGGCCCGCCGUUGAAACUGGCAGUCUCGAGUUGGAGAGAAGUAUGCGGAAUGCGCGGUGUAGCGGUGAAAUGCGUAGAUAUCACGCAGAACUCCGAUUGCGAAGGCAGCAUGCCGGCUCCACACUGACGCUGAGGCACGAAAGCGUGGGUAUCGAACAGGAUUAGAUACCCCAGUAGUC
rnacentral:rRNA from 1 species